UACGUAGGGUGCAAGCGUUGUCCGGAAUUAUUGGGCGUAAAGAGCUCGUAGGCGGUCUGUCGCGUCGGAUGUGAAAAAUCCAGGGCUCAACCCUGGACCUGCAUUCGAUACGGGCAGACUAGAGUUCGGCAGGGGAGACUGGAAUUCCUGGUGUAGCGGUGAAAUGCGCAGAUAUCAGGAGGAACACCGGUGGCGAAGGCGGUGGUCUGGGCCUGAACUGACGCUGAGGAGCGAAAGCGUGGGGAGCGAACAGG
rnacentral:rRNA from 1 species